CUGCAGUGCUCCUGCUUGUGGGGAGAGCUGCACCUCGUGCCAUAGGGAAGCCUUUACCCCAUGGGUGACUUUAGUGUUUGCUCCUCCCAGAGCUGCUUCACUGAAAGAGCUGUGUGAUGUUGUUCCUUGCAAGGAGCCCAGUGCUGGAGCCCAUGGUGGUUGGCAUGUGGAUGGUGUAUGGAGGAUUUAGGAGGCACCCCAGGAGCCAGCUCUGUCCUACCAGGCUCCUUUUGAAGCCCUGUGCAAAGAAAUGGAUAGACUUCAGCCAUCAAUAAUAUCGCUGGAGGAGAAAAUUGAAGGGAUAUCUGCCCAAUUAAAUAACCUGCAGGGCUGGAAUUGAGAAUCAAUGUGGCAUGAACGAUGAGGAUGUAUCACUUGCUGGCAACGCUGGGACCACCCUACUCAAGAGAGCCACCAAGGCAGAGUGGGCCUUCUGUGGAAGUACAAUCCCAUCAUCUGGGCCCUUUCCAGCAGUGAUUAAGGGUAAGAAACAUCUGCUCUGUGUGGCUCAUUCCUCCUCCUUUUCCUCCCAUUGUCACCAAGCCAUUCCCCAGCGUGAUGUGGACACAGACCUCUGCCCAC